CCUACGGGAGGCAGCAGUGAGGAAUAUUGGUCAAUGGGCGCGAGCCUGAACCAGCCAAGUAGCGUGAAGGAUGACUGCUCUACGGGUUGUAAACUUCUUUUAUAAAGGAAUAAAGUGAGGCACGUGUGCCUAUUUGUAUGUACUUUAUGAAUAAGGAACGGCUAACUCCGUGCCAGCAGCCGCGGUAAUACGGAGGAUCCGAGCGUUAUCCGGAUUUAUUGGGUUUAAAGGGAGCGUAGAUGGGUUGUUAAGUCAGUUGUGAAAGUUUGCGGCUCAACCGUAAAAUUGCAAUUGAUACUGGCAGCCUUGAGUACAGAUGAGGUAGGCGGAAUUCGUGGUGUAGCGGUGAAAUGCUUAGAUAUAACGAAGAACUCCGAUGGCGAAGGCAGCCCACUAAACUGCCACUGACAUUGAUGCUCGAAAGUGUGGGUAGCAAACAGGAUUAGAUACCCCGGUAGUC
rnacentral:rRNA from 1 species